CCUACGGGUGGCAGCAGUGAGGAAUAUUGGUCAUUGGGCGAGAGCCUGAACCAGCCAAGUCGCGUGAGGGAUGACUGCCCUAUGGGUUGUAAACUUCUUUUGUAUGGGAGGAAUAUGCUUUACGUGUAGAGUUAUGUCUGUACCAUAUGAAUAAGCAUCGGCUAACUCCGUGCCAGCAGCCGCGGUAAUACGGAGGAUGCGAGCGUUAUCCGGAUUUAUUGGGUUUAAAGGGUGCGUAGGCGGCAUUAUAAGUUAGUGGUAAAAUUUUGGGGCUACACCUCAAAACGCCGUUUAAACUGUAGGGCUAGAGAACAGACGAGGUAGGCGGAAUAAGUUGAGUAGCGGUGAAAUGCAUAGAUAUAACGUAGAACACCGAUAGCGAAGGCAGCUUACCAGACUGAAUCUGACGCUGAUGCACGAGAGCAUGGGUAGCAAACAGGAUUAGAUACCCUAGUAGUC
rnacentral:rRNA from 1 species